GAUACCUCUGAUUGGCUGCCAAGGGUAGCCCUUGCCAGCUGCCGGGACGGAACCGUAGGCCGCGAGCGCACUGGCCCCUGGUUGGUUGGAGCGCGGCGGCGGGCGUCUGCCAUUGGCCGGGCCGGUCGGAGCGAGGCGCGUGGCCACCUCCAGAGCCUACUGGCGCCCCCGCGACCCGCGACAUGUGGCCGCUGCCCGCCUUCCCUUCGCCCCCGCCGCUGCAUUUUUUCCUGUCGCCACCCUUCUGACCCGGCCCCUCCCGCGGCGGGUGGCCUGAGCUCAGGUAAUCAGGCAGAAGUUCUAUCUCAGUGGGCUCCGCUCCAGCAGCCCAGGACUGGUAUCAGGAAGCCAACCUUGACCCUAGGGGACCUCAGAGAGCCCGAGACCCACCACCAAGAAGGGCAGUGUACUAGUUCUUUGUGACUGCAGUAACAAAUUUAUACACAUUGAGUGACUUCAAACAACAGAAAUUUAUUCUUUACAGUUCUGGAGGCUAGAAGUCAAAAAUCAAGGUGUGGGCAGGACCCUGUUCCCGUCACAGGUGCUAGGGGAGGAUGCCUCCUGCCUCUCCCAGCUCCUGCUGGCUCCAGGCCCUCUGUGGCUUGUGGCCGCAUCACAGGAGUUCCUGCCUCCGUCUUCACAUGGCCGCCUUCCCAUGUCUGUCUCCAAUCUCCCUCUGUUUUUAUCUUGUAAGAGGUUGGAUUGUCGUUGAAUGUAGGACCUGCCUGAAAUCUAGGAUAGCCUCAUUUUGAUAUCCUUAGUUUAAUUACAUGUGCAAAGGCCCUUUUAUCAAGUGAGGUCGCAUUCACAGAUUCCAGGGCUUAGUGGGUGGAGGUAUCGUUUUGCCUGCCCUCAUCCAAUCCGGACAGGUAGUGUCCUCUCCCCUGUGGGGCUGGCCUAUCUUUCCAGCUGUCUUCCCAGAAAGUAAUUUUUUUUUUUUUUUUUUUUUGAGACGGAAUCUUGCUCUGUCCCCCAGGCUGGAGUGCAGUGGCACGAUCUCGUCUCACUGCAAACUCCCUCUCCCGGGUUCACGCCAUUCUCAUGCCUCAACCUCCCGAUUAGCUGGGACUAUAGGCACUCGCCGCCACGCCCGGCUCAUUGUUUUGUAUUUUUUAAAUAGAGAUGGGGUUUCACCUUGUUAGCCAGGAUGGUCUAGAUCUCCUGACCUCAUGAUCCACCCGCCUCGGCCUCCCAAAGUGCUGGGAUUACAGGCGGCCUCCCAAAGUGCUGGGAUUACAAGCGUGAGUCACCGCACCCGCCGAACACAAUGUGUUUUAAAUCUGUCUUGCUGACCUGGAGCCUUGGGUGCCUUUGGGUAGGAGCUGAUGGCACUAGUACCUUGAUAAAGUUCUUACUGGCACCAGAAGAAAAGAGAAUAAAGUGACUCCUUCCUCUUCUCUGACUUAUGGCCAGGUGCCCAUUCCCAUUGGCUUGCCGCUCCCCAGCUCCCCGUACUUUAUAUUGUUGAGGCCUCCUCUCUCAGCUAAGAAACAGGAAGUACACGGACGGAUGUGUAUUCUUAAAGACAGCAUUAGCCAUGGGGCCCCCACCCUCAAAAGGGUGGAAGCCACAACUGCUGCUGGUUGAAACUGACAAUUUCUACUGAUAAUAAAGUUAAUUGUUACCCAGUCAA
rnacentral:lncRNA from 1 species